rnacentral:rRNA from 1 species
GAUGAACGCUGGCGGCGUGCCUAAUACAUGCGAGUCGAGCGAACAGACGCGGAGCUUGCUCCUCUGACGUUAGCGGCGGACGGGUGAGUAACACGUGGAUAACCUACCUAUAAGACUGGGAUAACUUCGGGAAACCGGAGCUAAUACCGGAUAAUAUAUUGAACCGCAUGGUUCAAUAGUGAAAGACGGUUUUGCUGUCACUUAUCGAUGUAUCCGCGCCGCAUUGGCUAGUUGGUAAGGUAACGGCUUACCAAGGCGACGAUGCGUAGCCGACCUGAGAGGGUGAUAGGCCACACUGGAACUGAGACACGGACCAGACUCCUACGGGAGGCAGCAGUAGGGAAUCGUCGGCAAUGGGCGAAAGCCUGACGGAGCGAGGCCGCGUGAGUGAUGAAGGUCUUCGGAUCGUAAAACUCUGUUAUUAGGGAAGAACAAAUGUGUAAGUAACUAUGCACGUCGUGACGGUACCUAAUCAGAAAGCCACGGCUAACUACGUG